UACGUAGGGGGCUAGCGUUGUCCGGAUUUAUUGGGCGUAAAGAGCGUGUAGGCGGCCAGAUAGGUCUGCUGUGAAAACUCGAGGCUCAACCUCGAGAUGUCGGCGGAAACCAUUUGGCUAGAGUCCGGAAGAGGAAAGUGGAAUUCCCGGUGUAGAGGUGAAAUUCGUAGAUAUCGGGAGGAACACCGGUGGCGAAGGCGGCGAUCUGGGUAGAUACUGACGCUGAGGUGCGAAAGCGUGGGGAGCAAACAGG
rnacentral:rRNA from 1 species